rnacentral:rRNA from 1 species
CCUACGGGAUGCAGCAGUGAGGAAUAUUGGUCAAUGGGCGGGAGCCUGAACCAGCCAAGCCGCGUGAGGGAAGAAGGUACAGCGUAUCGUAAACCUCUUUUGUCAGGGAACAAAGGCGGGGACUAGUCCCCGGAUGAGGGUACCUGAAGAAAAAGCAUCGGCUAACUCCGUGCCAGUAGCCGCGGUAAUACGGAGGAUGCGAGCGUUAUCCGGAUUGAUUGGGUUUAAAGGGUGCGCAGGCGGCCUGUUAAGUCAGCGGUAAAAGCCCGGGGCUCAACCCCGGCCAGCCGUUGAAACUGGCGGGCUGGAGUUGGAGAGAAGUACGCGGAAUGCGCGGUGUAGCGGUGAAAUGCUUAGAUAUCGCGCAGAACCCCGAUUGCGAAGGCAGCGUACCGGCUCCACACUGACGCUGAGGCACGAAAGCGUGGGUAUCGAACAGGAUUAGAUACCCCAGUAGUC